UAGGGAAUCUUCCGCAAUGGGCGAAAGCCUGACGGAGCAACGCCGCGUGAGUGAUGAAGGUCUUCGGAUCGUAAAACUCUGUUAUUAGGGAAGAACAAAUGUGUAAGUAACUAUGCACGUCUUGACGGUACCUAAUCAGAAAGCCACGGCUAACUACGUGCCAGCAGCCGCGGUAAUACGUAGGUGGCAAGCGUUAUCCGGAAUUAUUGGGCGUAAAGCGCGCGUAGGCGGUUUUUUAAGUCUGAUGUGAAAGCCCACGGCUCAACCGUUGAGGGUCAUUGGAAACUGGAGAACUUGAAUGCAGAAGAGGAAAGUGGAAUUCCAUGUGUAGCGGUGAAAUGAGCAGAGAUAUGGGGGAACACCAGUGGCGAAGGCGACUUUCUGGUCUGUAAAUGACGCUGAUGUGCGAAAGCGUGGGGAUCAAACAGG
rnacentral:rRNA from 1 species